UGGGUUUUCAGCUCAAAUGGUAGAGCGCUCGCUUUGCAUGCGAGAGGCAGAGGGUUCAAACCUGCAGUUUCAU
rnacentral:tRNA from 1 species